rnacentral:rRNA from 1 species
AGCAGCCGUGGUAAUUCCAGCUCCAAUAGCGUAUGCAAAAGUUGUUGCAGUUAAAAAGCUCGUAGUUGAAUUUCGGGAUUGACGUGAUGGUCGUGCCUUAAGGGGUAUGAACUGUCGCCGUUGAUUUCUCACCUUCUGGAGAAGCUCGAUGUCCUUAAUUGGAUGUCUUGUGGAACCAGGACCUUUACCUUGAAAAAUUAGAGUGUUUAAAGCAGGCAUUAUGCUCGAAUACAUUAGCAUGGAAUAAUAGAAUAGGACGGCAUGGUUCUAUUUUGUUGGUUUCUAGGAUCACCGUAAUGAUUAAUAGGGAUAGUUGGGGGCAUUAGUAUUCAAUUGUCAGAGGUGAAAUUCUUGGAUUUAUUGAAGACUAACUACUGCGAAAGCAUUUGCCAAGGAUGUUUU